GACGUAGGGCGCGAGCGUUGUCCGGAUUUAUUGGGCGUAAAGAGCUCGUAAGCGGCUCGUUGCGUCAACCGUGAAAACCCGGGGCUUAACUUCGGGCUUGCGGUUGAUACGGGCGGGCUGGAGUUCGGUAGGGGAGACUGGAAUUCCUGGUGUAGCGGUGAAAUGCGCAGAUAUCAGGAGGAACACCGGUGGCGAAGGCGGGUCUCUGGGCCGAUACUGACGCUGAGGAGCGAAAGCGUGGGGAGCGAACAGG
rnacentral:rRNA from 1 species